rnacentral:tRNA from 1 species
AGCUAAAAAGCUUAAGAAAGCGUAUAUUUUGAAAAUAUAAGAAAGGAGUUUAAUUCCCCUAUUAGCUU